CUUCAAUCUCCACUGGAACUCAAGGUCUCCUGUCCCCUCCUUGCCCAACUUCGCUGCUCUGCUUGUACUUCCUGCUGAUGUCCACCAGAGGGCGCCAUGACAUCACUCACCAGCUCAGAGAUGAAGACAAACUGGGGACUUUGGAUUUGUUGUGUUGCUGUCCGAGACAAAGGUUUCAGUCAACACACACGAUAAGAUGUCUCGGUGUCCCAGAGGUCUUCCAGGUCCAGCUGCAGCGUGAGAAACCCUCCAAUCAGAGC